rnacentral:rRNA from 1 species
UACGGAGGUGGCAAGCGUUGUUCGGAAUUACUGGGCGUAAAGGGCGCGUAGGCGGCUUGGUCAGUCCCGUGUGAAAUCCCUCGGCUCAACUGAGGAACUGCACGGGAAACUGCCUGGCUUGAGUUCGGGAGAGGGAAGCGGAAUUCCGGGUGUAGCGGUGAAAUGCGUAGAUAUCCGGAGGAACACCGGUGGCGAAGGCGGCUUCCUGGACCGACACUGACGCUGAGGCGCGAAAGCUAGGGGAGCAAACGGG